AGACCAGAAAAUUUGGUUUCUCAGGUCUGAAGAGUCCUUCAGGUGCCUUUUUGCAAGCUCCAGGCAGGCUGCCAUGUGCCUAAGGAGUGGCUUCAGUUUGGGCCACUCUACCCUACAGGCCUGCUUGGUGGAUUGCUGCAGAAGAUGGUUGCCUUCUGGAAGGUUCUCAUGUCUCCACAGAGCAAUGCUGGAGCUAGCACAUAGUGACUAUUGGGUUCUUGGUCACCUCCCUGACUAAAGCCCUUCUCCCUGAUCACUCAGUUU